AUUGAACGCUGGCGGCAGGCCUAACACAUGCAAGUCGAGCGAGCGGGGGAGGGGGGGGUAAUGUAUGGGGAAAGCCCGAUAGAGAGGGAUAACAACUGGAAACGGUGGCGCAAACAGCAUACGGUAGGAUAGCCCAUAGGGGAUUAGCUAGUUGGUAAGGGAACGGCUUACCUAGGCGACGAUCCCUAGCUGGUCUGAGAGGAUGACCAGCAACACUGGGACUGAGACACGGCCCAGACUCCUACGGAGGCAGCAGUGGGGAAGAUUGCACAAUGGGCGCAAGCCUGAUGCAGCCAUGCCGCGUGUAUGAAGAAGGCCCUAGGGUUGUAAAGUACUUUCAGGCGGGAGGCGUUACCGACAGAGGAAGCACCGGCUAACUCCGUGACAGCCGCCGCGGUAAUUC
rnacentral:rRNA from 1 species